rnacentral:tRNA from 1 species
GUCUUCGUGGUCUAGUGGUUAAGACUCCUGGUUUCCACUCAGGCGACUAGGGUUCGGUUCCCAGUCAGGAAA